AGUGAACGCUGGCGGUAGGCCUAACACAUGCAAGUCGAACGGCAGCACAGUAAGAGCUUGCUCUUACGGGUGGCGAGUGGCGGACGGGUGAGGAAUACAUCGGAAUCUACUUUUUCGUGGGGGAUAACGUAGGGAAACUUACGCUAAUACCGCAUACGACCUACGGGGGAAAGCAGGGGAUCUUCGGACCUUGCGCGAUUGAAUGAGCCGAUGUCGGAUUAGCUAGUUGGCGGGGUAAAGGCCCACCAAGGCGACGAUCCGUAGCUGGUCUGAGAGGAUGAUCAGCCACACUGGAACUGAGACACGGUCCAGACUCCUACGGGAGGCAGCAGUGGGGAAUAUUGGACAAUGGGCGCAAGCCUGAUCCAGCCAUACCGCGUGGGUGAAGAAGGCCUUCGGGUUGUAAAGCCCUUUUGUUGGGAAAGAAAAGCAGCAGGUUAAUACCCCGCUGUUCUGACGGUACCCAAAGAAUAAGCACCGGCUAACUUCGU
rnacentral:rRNA from 1 species